rnacentral:rRNA from 1 species
GGUUAAGCGACUAAGCGUACACGGUGGAUGCCCUGGCAGUCAGAGGCGAUGAAGGACGUGCUAAUCUGCGAAAAGCGUCGGUAAGGUGAUAUGAACCGUUACAGCCGGCGAUGUCCGAAUGGGGAAACCCAGUGCAAUUCGUUGCACUAUCGUUAACUGAAUACAUAGGUUAACGAGGCGAACCGGGGGAACUGAAACAUCUAAGUACCCCGAGGAAAAGAAAUCAACCGAGAUUCCCCCAGUAGCGGCGAGCGAACGGGGAGCAGCCCAGAGUCUGAAUCAGCUUGUGUGUUAGUGGAACGGUCUGGAAAGUCCGACGGUACAGGGUGAUAGUCCCGUACACCAAAAUGCACAGGCUGUGAACUCGAAGAGUAGGGCGGGACACGUGGUAUCCUGUCUGAAUAUGGGGGGACCAUCCUCCAAGGCUAAAUACUCCUGACUGACCGAUAGUGAACCAGUACCGUGAGGGAAAGGCGAAAAGAACCCCGGCGAGGGGAGUGAAAAAGAACCUGAAACCGUGUACGUACAAGCAGUGGGAGCACCUUCGGGUGUGACUGCGUACCUUUUGUAUAAUGGGUCAGCGACUUAUAUUCUGUAGCAAGGUUAACCGUAUAGGGGAGCCGCAGGGAAACCGAGUCUUAACUGGGCGUUAAGUUGCAGGGUAUAGACCCGAAACCCGGUGAUCUAGCCAUGGGCAGGUUGAAGGUUGGGUAACACUAACUGGAGGACCGAACCGACUAAUGUUGAAAAAUUAGCGGAUGACUUGUGGCUGGGGGUGAAAGGCCAAUCAAACCGGGAGAUAGCUGGUUCUCCCCGAAAGCUAUUUAGGUAGCGCCUCGUGAAUUCAUCUUCGGGGGUAGAGCACUGUUUCGGCUAGGGGGUCAUCCCGACUUACCAACCCGAUGCAAACUACGAAUACCGAAGAAUGUUAUCACGGGAGACACACGGCGGGUGCUAACGUCCGUCGUGAAGAGGGAAACAACCCAGACCGCCAGCUAAGGUCCCAAAGUCAUGGUUAAGUGGGAAACGAUGUGGGAAGGCACAGACAGCCAGGAUGUUGGCUUAGAAGCAGCCAUCAUUUAAAGAAAGCGUAAUAGCUCACUGGUCGAGUCGGCCUGCGCGGAAGAUGUAACGGGGCUAAACCAUGCACCGAAGCUGCGGCAGCGACACUAUGUGUUGUUGGGUAGGGGAGCGUUCUGUAAGCCUGCGAAGGUGACCUGUGAGGGUUGCUGGAGGUAUCAGAAGUGCGAAUGCUGACAUAAGUAACGAUAAAGCGGGUGAAAAGCCCGCUCGCCGGAAGACCAAGGGUUCCUGUCCAACGUUAAUCGGGGCAGGGUGAGUCGACCCCUAAGGCGAGGCCGAAAGGCGUAGUCGAUGGGAAACAGGUUAAUAUUCCUGUACUUGGUGUUACUGCGAAGGGGGACGGAGAAGGCUAUGUUAGCCGGGCGACGGUUGUCCCGGUUUAAGCAUGUAGGCUGGUUAUCCAGGCAAAUCCGGAUAAUCAAGGCUGAGGUGUGAUGACGAGGCACUACGGUGCUGAAGUAACAAAUGCCCUGCUUCCAGGAAAAGCCUCUAAGCAUCAGGUAACAUCAAAUCGUACCCCAAACCGACACAGGUGGUCAGGUAGAGAAUACCAAGGCGCUUGAGAGAACUCGGGUGAAGGAACUAGGCAAAAUGGUGCCGUAACUUCGGGAGAAGGCACGCUGGUGUGUAGGUGAAGUCCCUGCGGAUGGAGCUGAGACCAGUCGAAGAUACCAGCUGGCUGCAACUGUUUAUUAAAAACACAGCACUGUGCAAACACGAAAGUGGACGUAUACGGUGUGACGCCUGCCCGGUGCCGGAAGGUUAAUUGAUGGGGUUAUCCGUAAGGAGAAGCUCUUGAUCGAAGCCCCGGUAAACGGCGGCCGUAACUAUAACGGUCCUAAGGUAGCGAAAUUCCUUGUCGGGUAAGUUCCGACCUGCACGAAUGGCGUAAUGAUGGCCAGGCUGUCUCCACCCGAGACUCAGUGAAAUUGAACUCGCUGUGAAGAUGCAGUGUACCCGCGGCAAGACGGAAAGACCCCGUGAACCUUUACUAUAGCUUGACACUGAACAUUGAGCCUUGAUGUGUAGGAUAGGUGGGAGGCUUUGAAGCGUGGACGCCAGUCUGCGUGGAGCCAACCUUGAAAUACCACCCUUUAAUGUUUGAUGUUCUAACGUUGGCCCCUGACCGGGGUUGCGGACAGUGUCUGGUGGGUAGUUUGACUGGGGCGGUCUCCUCCCAAAGCGUAACGGAGGAGCACGAAGGUUAGCUAAUCCUGGUCGGACAUCAGGAGGUUAGUGCAAUGGCAUAAGCUAGCUUGACUGCGAGCGUGACGGCGCGAGCAGGUGCGAAAGCAGGUCAUAGUGAUCCGGUGGUUCUGAAUGGAAGGGCCAUCGCUCAACGGAUAAAAGGUACUCCGGGGAUAACAGGCUGAUACCGCCCAAGAGUUCAUAUCGACGGCGGUGUUUGGCACCUCGAUGUCGGCUCAUCACAUCCUGGGGCUGAAGUAGGUCCCAAGGGUAUGGCUGUUCGCCAUUUAAAGUGGUACGCGAGCUGGGUUUAGAACGUCGUGAGACAGUUCGGUCCCUAUCUGCCGUGGGCGCUGGAGAAUUGAGGGGGGCUGCUCCUAGUACGAGAGGACCGGAGUGGACGCAUCACUGGUGUUCGGGUUGUCAUGCCAAUGGCACUGCCCGGUAGCUAAAUGCGGAAGAGAUAAGUGCUGAAAGCAUCUAAGCACGAAACUUGCCCCGAGAUGAGUUCUCCCUGAGACUUUAAGUCUCCUGAAGGAACGUUAAAGACGAUGACGUUGAUAGGCCGGGUGUGUAAGCGCAGCGAUGCGUUGAGCUAACCGGUACUAAUGAACCGUGAGGCUUAACCUU